AGAGUUUGAUCAUGGCUCAGAGCGAACGCUGGCGGCAGGCUUAACACAUGCAAGUCGAGCGGGCACUUCGGUGUCAGCGGCAGACGGGUGAGUAACACGUGGGAACGUACCCUUUGGUUCGGAAUAACGCUGGGAAACUAGCGCUAAUACCGGAUACGCCCUUUUGGGGAAAGGCUUGCUGCCGAAGGAUCGGCCCGCGUCUGAUUAGCUAGUUGGUGGGGUAAUGGCCUACCAAGGCGACGAUCAGUAGCUGGUCUGAGAGGAUGAUCAGCCACACUGGGACUGAGACACGGCCCAGACUCCUACGGGAGGCAGCAGUGGGGAAUAUUGGACAAUGGGCGCAAGCCUGAUCCAGCCAUGCCGCGUGAGUGAUGAAGGCCUUAGGGUUGUAAAGCUCUUUUGUCCGGGACGAUAAUGACGGUACCGGAAGAAUAAGCCCCGGCUAACUUCGUGCCAGCAGCCGCGGUAAU
rnacentral:rRNA from 1 species